AAAUGAACUUUAUCUGAGAUUACUGCCUGUUACCGAGCAAAAGUCUCCAUACUGUUAUGCGUGGAAUUUGCGAUACAAUUGGAGAAGAAAACUCGGGGCGAGGAGGGAGAUUUCGUGACACCGAGACUCUCAGACUUGAUGAUCCACCAGAGACUUCCUGAACGUCGAACCGAGCACUUGCGAAGUACCCACAUAGUCUAGUGUUGGACUUUUUCUUAAUUCCUCCAAGAAAAGCAAUAGACGAAAAUGGACCAAAGACAAAUAGACGAGAGGGCGAAGAACUGGAACCCAAACAACAAAGCAGGAGGCGGUUACGGGAAUCGCCCUCGCGCAGACGCGCAGUAUUCAUCAACCGAAAACCGGGCAAUGCAGUUGAAUCGAAACAAUCCACGUUUCCAAGGAAAUCCGCGGGAUCAAGCCCAAAAUAAAUAAACGCCCAAGAUGGACCUCAGCUUUUUAGCCACGGAUAAUUAUCUGCUUCAAUUUUUUUUGACGUUCCAUCAAUUGACAACUUGUACUUGCAUUAUUACUGCUACUACUACAAUUUUGCGUGAAUAUUUUCUAAAUCUAUAAAUAAAGCUUAUUUGGAUGACAAUACAUAUUUUUUUAAAAAAAUAAAGCACCUUGCAAAUCCUCAUUUUUUAAUUUGGUUCUCACCUUCGUGGGUGGCAUUCUUUUUCUGCAAUCACAAUUCUCGGCAUCAGGUUUCAAAUAUUUUGGUUUGCUGCUGCCGGAAUAUCUCGAGAACAGAUAAAUAAUAAGAGCAAUGUAAAAGACACAGAAACCCUUAGCUUUUAGGAGUUAUAAUUUGUUUCCAAAUUUAUUCUAGCGCUUGCGAGCCAUAUCAUUUUCUCACCACCCGCCGAAACUUUAUAUCAUGUUGACGCGAUAAAAGUAUUUACUUAUAAUAUCUUUCAAACUGUAAAUUUUGAACAUGCGGUGGCAAAAGGUUGGUCUGGAAAAUAAAGCGUUACUUGAUAAUUUGCUGACCAAAAAUGGAAAGAAAAACAAUGUAUGCUUACUUUUCAAAACCCCUUUUUUUAGACUCACUUAUUUUUUGAGAUAUAGUUAUUCUAGAAUUACUCAUAAUCCAAAAUAGCUUUUGCGGCUUUUUUUUUGUUUUUAAAGAAGAAAAGGAAAUAAUGAACACACACACACAUUUACUAGGUGAUCCAAUAAUCUAUGCCAUUUUAAGAGGAACGAUAAUCCUUCGCCAAAAUCAGGAAAUCUCUUUCCUCAGGAGCUGAUGAAAGUCUAGAGUAAAAAGCUUGAAGCUUGAGUGCAUCUGAAAAUACUUGAAGUGCGAAGUUCUGGAGGCAGGAUUUUUCUUCUAAAUGUUUCAAAUCUCAAGCUUGUUUCAUUGAUGGGAUACGAUUUUCUUAUUUAUUUUCAGUUUUAGAAAGCAGAGUGAGAGAUCAUAAGUUUUUUUAAAAAAUUUCCAAAUCCUGGUUCCAUUAGUAGAGUUUAUAGCUACAAUUGCCCCUCAGAAAAGUAAAAUGACAAAACAUAAAUUUUCAGGUGAGAAACUUUUCAAGGAGUGAAAGAAAAACGUUGCAAGUUUACACUAAAUAUACAGUUAAUGCAACCUAAUAUUUACAGUUAGAUGAAAUGUGAGAAACAUGCAAUUGCUAGGUUGCCAUUUACAAAGUAAGACUUAGGAAUAGAAUAGUGAAAAAUACACACAUCGAUGGAAAAAUACCUAGUCACGGAUCUCGAUUGCGACGUUUAAGAAUGUUUUCUCAUAGUUUUAAUGUUUUCAAGAUAAUAUAUACUGCUUGGCAUUUUUUUCCGCGAAUCCUCAGAGAAUAUUGUGAUCUUGUGAAGAGAGCGAAGAAAAAUGAAACGAAAUUCUAGUAAAAAAAAACAUUAUCAGGUCUUUAAGAAAAUGCAAAUGUGACUGAAGAUUUACAACGCCAACGGUGCAAACUGAGAUGAGUGGUUUAGUACAUGCACCAUCGAUGUUUAAAACACAUUUUGUGGUAAGGAAUUUAUUACGUCUGGCUCAUUAUAUAUACCUAGAAACAAUUGAUGUGCCAUUUGAUUCCCUGUGCAUUAAUUAAUUUUACUGAUGAACCAGAAAUAGCAGUUCUCUACUGUAAAAUGUAGUCCAUUCACAAAAUAAAUGAACAUAUUACUCGAA